CGGGGUAGAGUAACGCGUGAGGAACCUGCCUCAAAGAGGGGGACAACAGUUGGAAACGACUGCUAAUACCGCAUAAGCCCACGGCUCGGCAUCGAGCAGAGGGAAAAGGAGUGAUCCGCUUUGAGAUGGCCUCGCGUCCGAUUAGCUAGUUGGUGAGGUAACGGCCCACCAAGGCAACGAUCGGUAGCCGGACUGAGAGGUUGAACGGCUACAUUGGGACUGAGACACGGCCCAG
rnacentral:rRNA from 1 species